CUUGAGCCUGGGAGGUGGAGGUUGCAGUGAGCUGAGAUCACGCCACUGCACUCCAGUCUGGGUGACAGAGUGAGACCUUGUCUC
rnacentral:miRNA from 10 species